rnacentral:rRNA from 1 species
UUCCGUAGGUGACCUGCGGAGGAUUCAUUA